CAACCUCCUGGCAGGGGAGAUACCAUGAUCACGAAGGAGGUUUUCCCAGGGCGAGGCUUAUCCAUUGCACUCCGGAUGUACUGACCCCUGCGAUUUCCCCAAAUGUGGAAAACUCGACUGCAUAAUUUGUGAUAGUGGGGGACUGCGUUCGCGCUUUCCCCUA
ensembl:snRNA U1 U1 spliceosomal RNA